UACGUAGGUGACAAGCGUUGUCCGGAUUUACUGGGCGUAAAGCGCGUGUAGGCGGCUUUGCAAGUCGGGUGUGAAAUCCCUCAGCUUAACUGAGGAAGUGCGCCCGAAACUGCCGAGCUUGAGUACCGGAGAGGGUGGCGGAAUUCCCCAAGUAGAGGUGAAAUUCGUAGAUAUGGGGAGGAACACCGGUGGCGAAGGCGGCCACCUGGACGGAUACUGACGCUGAGACGCGAAAGCGUGGGGAGCAAACAGG
rnacentral:rRNA from 1 species